AGGACGAACGCUGGCGGCGUGCUUAACACAUGCAAGUCGAGCGGAAAGGCCCUUCGGGGUACUCGAGCGGCGAACGGGUGAGUAACACGUGGGCAACCUGCCCCUAGCUCUGGGAUAACUCCGGGAAACCGGUGCUAAUACCGGAUACGACCUCAUUAGGCAUCCUUUGAGGUGGAAAGAUUUAUCGGCUAGGGAUGGGCCCGCGGCCUAUCAGCUUGUUGGUGGGGUAACGGCCUACCAAGGCGACGACGGGUA
rnacentral:rRNA from 1 species